rnacentral:rRNA from 1 species
CCUACGGGAGGCAGCAGUGAGGAAUAUUGGUCAAUGGACGCAAGUCUGAACCAGCCACGCCGCGUGAAGGAUGACGGCCUUAUGAGUUGUAAACUGCUUUUGUACGAGGGUAAUAUCAGAUACGUGUAUCUGUUUGAAUGUACCGUACGAAUAAGGAUCGGCUAACUCCGUGCCAGCAGCCGCGGUAAUACGGAGGAUCCAAGCGUUAUCCGGAUUUAUUGGGUUUAAAGGGUGCGUAGGCGGGUUUAUAAGUUAGAUGUGAAAGUUCGGGGCUCAACUCCGGACGUGCCUCUAAUACUGUAAGACUAGAGAAUAGGUGAGGUAGGCGGAAUGUAUGGUGUAGCGGUGAAAUGCGUAGAGAUCAUGCAGAACACCGAUUGCGAAGGCAGCUAACCGGACUAUAACUGACGUUGAGGCACGAAAGCGUGGGGAGCAAACAGGAUUAGAUACCCCAGUAGUC